rnacentral:tRNA from 1 species
GCUCGGAUGGUGGAAUCGGUAGACACGCAAGACUUAAAAUCUUGUGACCAAAUGCGGUUGUGCGGGUUCAAGUCCCGCUCCGAGUA